AAUUUAAUAAAAACACAUAUAUCGUGACAUGUAUUACAAAGAUACGUAUUAUAAGAUAACGAUCGACUGCGAAAGCUUCUGAAGUUUAACGAUAGAUGCCAAAGAUGUUUAAUUCUUUGUUGUUGCUGCUUGAUACGUUUGCAAUUUGUAAACCUAUCGCGUCGUUUGCGCGAGAAAAGACAAAUACGUUAAAAAAUUCUUCGAAAGGCAAUUUCGGCAGAAGCGAACAAAGAAAUAUAAAGUAACAUAAAGCAAUUAAAAUUACACGAUGAAUAAUUCUAAUGUUACAAGUAACCUACGUAUCUCUGUACACGAUGUUUUGUCGCAUCUUACUUUUUAUUACUUUUCGUGCUCCUUACGAAAUAUUUUCUUUGUCUACGUAAAAUAACGAUCAGAUGCUCGUACUAAAUCGAAAGCUGAAAACGGUUUCUAUAUCGAGCGACUAUAACUGUACAAAUUUCGUGACGCAUUAUACAAGAGGAAUCCCCGAGUAGCUAGUUUCCAGAAAUUUCGGAUGAACCAGGGUUGACCAUAAAAUCCACAAAGAUCGAGUAACCGAUGUGUCGGGUGGACGAGCAGCACGAGCUCUGCUUCUUUGUGUUAUUACUUCUGUUACUCUCCCUCUCUCUCUCUCUCUCUCUCUCUCUCUGACUCGCAGUCAGUAGUCAGCGCCAUAAGGUAAUCGACGAAGAAGGGAAAGAGACAGAAGUAGGAAGAAGAAGAGGAAGAAGAUGGAAAAAUAAAAGCAGGAGCGGAAUAACUUGCAGAGGCAGGUGUUAGAGGUGCAUACACGCACCGGUGCGGUCCAAGAACACGACGUCCAUUCUCUACGGACCAUGGGCCUGGUCGCGGCAAUUUCCUCUUUCUUCGGCUACGGCAGAUGUGCCUGCAGGCCGGUGCAAAGGCAUGCGGUACGAGAUAACCAAGAUUAUACGAUGGAUACCUUAGACCUUAGAGCAGGCAAGCUGCCAGGGAGUAUCGAGUCCCGUGCGGAGGCCACGUUUUUUCUGUCUACCCAGACAGGCCGCAUUGGCCAUCAAAUAUCAAAGUGUACAUACACGCGUACGUAUUUCACGCGAACACCGGAGUAGAAUUUCUUGGGAUCAACGAAUGACAAAGUGCCUCGUUUCAGCGUCGUCGUGGUCGUGGUCGUGGUCGUCGUUCGGCUUUCUUCUCCAUCGCGACAAUACCAAUAGUGACGAUACUUUCUAUAUAAGUACGUUCCUUCGGGUAUCGUAUAAAAAUACGAUAUUCCAAGUAAAUAGCCUAGCUACGCGAAUAGCAAGUAACCAGCUGGUUUUUCCGUUUUCUAAAAGCAGAUACUUUUUCGAUUUUGUAGAAGGCGAGAACGUUUGUACGAGAAACGUUACUUUUUCGUCAAAAUUUCACAAAAAUUUGGCACCUCGUAUAUAACAAAAAGGAAGGUGGCUUGUUCGACCGUAUAUUCUCGGCAUAUUUCCAUUUAAGAAGACACGUGGCCUCGGAUGAUCGAUGAAUACCUUACGAGGAACAGGCUGCCGCAACUCGUAUCGCGUCUCCCCUUUUUCCUUCGACUCGUUGCUUAACGUGCAGAACGCGUAAUAAUACGCACAGCUGAUGAAUUGGAAAAUUACUCGGGGUAUGCAGAACUCGGUUUAACCCUCCCGUUUACUCGCGAGCAGGAAAAAUUAGAGCCGAUCGCGUCCUUUCGUUUGAAUCCGAAACGUAGAAAAUAAUAAUAGGGAAAGUAGAGCUUUCGAUAUUUAAAAACUACCAAAAAAUAAAAGCUACCCAAAAUGAAUAUUUCGACGAGAUCUUCUAACAACGUUGAGCGUUUUGUCGUCCGGUUUGAUCUAAUAGAAUGAUCGAUGUUCUUUCGGAAUAGAAACGGAAUGCAAAUCGUAUCGACGAUGAUCGUAGAAUCAACAGAGCGAGAUAAAGAACACGUUCAAAGGUAAAACAGAAGAAACAGAAAAAUGGCACGAUACCCGCUGAGAAGAAUACGCUACUAAAAAAUAGAAUAGCGGUCGGUAUCCGUUAAAAUCGUCAAAGUACUUGAACUUUUACCACUCUUUCGUUUCGCAAAUAUAAAUAAUAUCGAUCGCCCUUUCCAGAUCUGAGAAUUAUUUGGGUCUUUGUACUUCCUCUUAUCAUUAUUCUAAUUUACGUAUGUACGAUGGCUACCCUACUUGACUUUUCGUAUUUUCCAUAUAAAUAGAUUAUUCGGUGACGGUAUGGGUAAUAUUUUACAUAGUAAGCGAAUACGCGAAAUGCGAAUACGCGAUCGUUUAACUUGCAGGUUAGAAAGGGUUAACAAGCGUAUAGUCGAUGGAACGUACUCGGAAGCGCUUUAAAUCUCAAUCCGUCGAAAUCUUUUAUCGAAAGCUGCGAAUGUCAAGUCCCCUUUGUCUCUCGCUCGAUAAUUACGAACAUGCUGGGAAAGACAGUUCGAAAUUGCCGUCGAACGGCGCCAAACGGCACCGAACGAGACUCUAAAUUCUCGUGUUUUCAAAAAUGUCACGACCGAUUCCCUUCGAUCCUCGAAACACACCGAUCUCAUCCUCCAGUUCUAUAUCUGCCUCUGUACCGAAUCUCUUUCACCGUAUCUCUUUCGCCGUACAAUUUUAAUCGAUCGUUUCGACCGUUUAGUUUUUAAAUUAUGCUAUCGCUGGACGUAAGCAUCGUGCAAAACCUGUAAUUCUUACGAAAGCCGCAAAGUACAUGAAUUUAUACCGGUUAGUUACCCUAUCCCGUGUCUAAGUAACUCGCAGUCAGUACUUUGUACCAGGUUAACACACGAUCCGAAGGAUUUGGCAACACACCAUAGCCGGUUGGAGGCGAUUUGGCAAUUCGUACAGAAGCCAAACGUGCUCGUGACAUGGCCGCGUUCGAUAUUUGCCAAUACCCAUCUACUUCGUGUCUCUGGACAAUUUCUAGCAAGUCGAAACGUGGCACGUUGUUCUCGAUGCAUCGUUUUGUUUCUUGAGAAAAUGUCAUCGCCAUCUUACCUUUCCGCGAAUAACGUGACAGGAGGUGCACAUUCUCGUUUGCAUUGCUGAUCCGAUGAAGCGAGACUUCUUUCGUUCGUUCCGUACGUGAUUCUCGUAUGUCGUAUCGGCGAUAUGUUUUUACGAGGAUAGAGUUACGAGCGUUCGUCGUUGCAACGAUGUUCUUCUCUCCAAAGAGAGACGAUCGUUCUUCCGAAUUCGGACGUUAUCCAUAGAUGUACAGGCGUAUUUAGAAUUGCGUCUGACGUUUCCGUCAUAAAGCGUCUUCUUAACGUCGACUAUACACGACUCGCGUGACAAACUUCCUCCUCGAUCUGACGAUACUAACGAUAUAAUUAUACCUAAUACGUACGAGACGAACGUAAGAAGGUAAAUUCACGCGUAUCAUAUUUAUUUUGCACGAUCACUCGGUAUAUCGGACGACGUUAAUCCACACGAUCGGUAUUAAAUUACUGCUGAAACAUUUCUCCGUAUUUCGGCAGGGAUUCGUAAGGUUUCAAACUGUCGUGCUUUCGAGAUGCGUAACUCCCGAAAUGUAAAUUAACAGGCUGGUUGUCAGCUACGAAGGACAACGAACCGAACGAACUCGUACGAACUCGUCGGUUCUAUCCGAUGAUGCACGGUCGGUGCUAUUAGUCAUCGUUCGUUACCGUCAUCUUUGAUACCGAAGCGAGGAACACCUCGAGACGUUCUAACGCGUUGCGACAUUCUUUGGCUUGUGCUCCUUGUGGAGCGCGUCAUUGUACCGAAUGACAGAAGUCAGAAGCAAACAGAUACGUUAGUGCGUAUAAUUGGAACUCGCUGGCAAACUUAAUGAGAUAAUUUGCUUGUAAUUACGUCGAAACGUAGCGCGAGUUGGUUGUAGGAAAUUUGAAAUUAUUGAAAUUGAUUUAAAAGAUUAGACCGCGGAAAGAGACGAGAAAUUUGCGAGUAAAAGCUAAUAGCAAAGAUUGGUCGUGAAAAUAACACGUUCUAAAUCGCCAAGUAUCUUUAUGUGCGCGUUGUAUCGAACGUGAAGUUAUAUCUUGGUAGUAAAUUCUUCCACUUCCGUAUACGGUUAUUUCCUUUUCCUACGAUUCGACCGUAACUUUUACUAUGUUUAUUUAAAAAGAUAGCAUUCGGUACUUUUAAUUUAUCACGUUGAUAGCAGAACCGAUGAUCGAGCGAUAGAGAAACGAAAACCAGAAGAGACGGUGGAGGAGUGAGAAAAGAAUAGUGCGGAGAAAUAGUGCGGCAAAAGAAUAGUAUUUCCGUAACGCUGGGGGUGACGAAGAAUGGUUCGCGAGAGGGACAGCUGACGCCGAUGAUCUCUCGUUUGAUCCCUUUUCGUCGCUUGGCCCGAAAUAUCUCGAGAAAGGCCGUCGGCUUUCGAACCAGAUCCGUACAAUUCAUUCGGAACACCGCAACGAUACGAUUCACGUUCGACCAAAGAUCGCUCGAAAGUUUACCGUCGAAUAACAAAGCGUAUCGUGACGGCGAAGAAGAGAAAAUAAAUUUGCCAUUGAUUUACGGCAAAGUUAUAUAUUUUUAUGCAAAAAUCGCUUCAAGGUCAGGAUAUCGUAGAUUUUGUCGCCGAAUUUGUUUGACGAGGACUGCAACGUUGCAUUGUAGAAAACAUGCCAGUAAGCAAAAAAAAAAAAAAAAAAAGAUGGAAUAAUCUCAAGAUAACCUUGGCAAGGUCGUUUUCUAUCACCAUUAAAUAUACGCGUUGAAACCAUUUAAAUUCCUCUUACAAUUAAUUUCCUUCUUCUUAUCUUGCGCAGCAGCAGAAACGAUUUAAACGUUGGAUUUAAGCGGAACACCCUGUACGUUCGACAAUACGCACAUGCUUAACAUAUUCAAAUGAAGAUGUCGAACAUUCCACGUUCAACUAUUAUUUUUUAU